CGGCGCGGCCGCCCCUUGAAGGGGCGCGCGACGAGGAAAGUCCGGACUCCGCAGGGCGCCGUAGCAGGCAACGCCUGCCCGCCGCAAGGCGAGGAUCAGAGCAACAGAGACGAGCCGGUUGAGUCCGGGUGAAACGGGCAAUCUCUACGGGGAGCAAUACCAAAUAGGCAGCCGCCUGAGUCCGGCCCGGAUGAUGGCUGCGGGUAGGUAGCUUGAGGCGCCGCGCGAGCGGCGUCCUAGAUGAAUGAUUCUCACGGACGGGGCGACCCGUCCGGACAGAAUCCGGCUUACAGACCAGCCUG
rnacentral:RNase_P_RNA from 1 species